rnacentral:rRNA from 1 species
UAUUUCCCGCUUCUGGNGGNGNUAAUGGUUUAUUUUGGUUGCUGUUUCAUCAGUAUUAAUAAUAUUCUGUUGGUAGUGAAAUGUUAGUCGUCUUUGGUGGUUUCUGGUUUUCCAAGAAAUGAAUUUAAUUCAUGCGUCUUAUCUAGUUUGUUUAGUUGUUUACAUUUUUUUAUUUGGCGUUAAGAUUGAGGGGGAUUAGCUCUUCUUUUUAUUCUUAUAAUUUUUGUUUUUAUCUAGUUUUGUGGAUUUUAUGGUGAUUUUCAAUUUGAUUAUGUUAAAAUUUUGUUUUUUCUUUUUUCUAUUUUAUUUGGGUUUAAUUUUUUUAUUGGGAUGUUUUCUUUAUUUUUUUUUGUUUAGUAAUUAUUGUGGAAUUAGUAAAUUUUUUGUUUAUUUUAUUUUUUGGGUGUUUAAUUCAUUUUAAGGAAUUAGGCAAAUAUUUCAUGUCCGCCUGUUUAUCAAAAACAUCUUUUCUUGUUAGUUUUUGAAGUAUGGCCUGCCCGCUGAUUUUAGGUUGAAGGGCCGCGGUAUUUUGACCGUGCAAAGGUAGCAUAAUCAUUAGUUCUUUAAUUGUGAUCUGGUAUGAAUGGCUUGACGAGGCAUGGGCUGUCUUGGAUUGGGAUUGGUUUAUUGAAUUUGGUUUUUGAGUUAGAAUUCUUAAAUGUUUUUAUGGGACGAGAAGACCCUAUAGAGUUUAACAUUUAUUUAUAUAGCUUGUUUUGGUUUGUUUUGUAGUUGCUUUGUGUUAAUGUUUUGUUGGGGUGAUGGGAAGAAUUUUCUUAACACUUCUUUAUUUUGGUAUAUUGAUUUAUAUUGGUUUUGAU